UAGAUGAAAGCCAAAAUAGAGGCGCCUAGCUGUUAAUUAGGAGAAUGUAAUAAAGUUUACUCAUUUAG
rnacentral:tRNA from 1 species